rnacentral:rRNA from 1 species
CUUGGCGACCAUAGCGUUUUGGACCCACCUGAUUCCAUUCCGAACUCAGAAGUGAAACGAAAUAGCGCCGAUGGUAGUGUGGGGUUUCCCCAUGU